rnacentral:lncRNA from 1 species
GUCUAAAGUAUUUUGAAAGAACAUGUUCUUAUGAUUGGGUUUGUGAGCAACCCAUAAAGGAUAUGGUGAUGCAUGCUUGAGUGGAUAUUAUAAUUGACAUUCUUACUUACGUACUUAAAGUUACUUGUUUCUGCUAUCCUGUUCACAAUUAUGUAUGUACAUAUUAUGGUUGAAUGUGAUGACAGGAUUGUCUUGACAAGAUAAAUUAUAGGGGUCAUUUUGGACUGCAUUAGGAAAGGCUAACAGUAUUGUGGUACAUAGAAGGAAGUGUGACACUGAUGGCAUACAACCGCUAUGACUCAUAUUGUUAGUCAGACUUAAUGUAGUAUUAUUAUUAUUAUUGGACUUAUUGGCCUAUUUUCUAAAACAUUCACACAUGCGUAUAUAGUUUUUUGUAAAAUUUCAGAAUCCAAUUGAGUCAAAUUGUUUUUAAAUAAAUUUUUUUAUUUUUUUUAUUUUAAAUCCUUUUAUAUCUUAUUGAUUAAUGGGCCAAGUGGGAGAAUGUAAGAUUAUGUGGCCCUAUUUAAUUAAGUAAAAUAUAUUAUAGAUAUGAUUGGAUUCUGAUUAUGGUUAUUGGCCAAUAGAAAAGAAGUUCAUGUUAAAUUAGGAUUCCUUAGGAGAUAACCUUGAUGGGAGGAACUCUCCUAAUAACUUAUCCUAGACCCUCUGCUCUCGCCUAUAAAUAGACAGGACCUCUAGGGGCUAA